AGACACGUUAUCGAAACGCAGAUCAUUGGCCGAACUUCCGUUAGACAGACGUUACUCCGUUCGGAUUCGAUGCUAAAAUAAAUUAUAUUUUUGUUUUUUACCGGGAAUGUAUCAAUAUAUAAUUGGGAGGAUGUCGAGUGACAAAUGGCGGG
rnacentral:misc_RNA from 1 species